GAAAUGCGAUAAGUAGUGUGAAUUGCAGAAUUCAGUGAAUCAUCGAAUCUUUGAACGCACAUUGCGCCCUUUGGUAUUCCUUAGGGCAUGCCUGUUCGAGCGUCAUCUAAACCUUCAAGCCCUGCUUGGUGUUGGGUGUCUGUCCCGCCUCCGCGCGCGGACUCACCUCAAAUCCAUUGGCGGCCCCCGCGUCGGCCACGAGCGCAGCAGAAACGCGAACUCGUGAGCCCGUCCGGGCGGCUCCCAGAAGCUACACCCACCCAGUUUGACCUCGGAUCAGGUAGUGAUACCCGCUGAACUUACGC
rnacentral:misc_RNA from 1 species